rfam:Oryza sativa (indica cultivar-group) chromosome 7, whole genome shotgun sequence.
UUUAAGCGUAGCCAUGAGUUUCUGUGUCCAACUUUAACCGUCCAUCUUAUUUGAAUUUUUAUAAUUAGUACUUAAUUUUAUUGUUAGAUAAUAAAUAUGAAUAGUAUUUUAUGCGUGACUUAUAUAUUUUUUAUUUUUUUAAAUAAGACAGACGAUUAAAUUUGGACAUGAAAACUUAUGGUUAUAUUUAAA